GGUAUGUAUAAGAAGUUGAGGAAUCUAAGGACGACUCCCAGCCCAAGGAGAAGAUGAACAUCGGUGCUGGGGCAAGCCAGUCCUCACGGAACGCCAGAGGGAUCUUUACUGGGCCUCUGGUCCGCGCUCGUCGGUAGCCCAGCCUUUAAAAUCUUUAACUAAACGUGCCUUAAUCUAAGUACAAUUAUUAAAUAAAAGCAAAACUUUCAACAACGGAUCUCUUGGUUCUGGCAUCGAUGAAGAACGCAGCGAAAUGCGAUAAGUAAUGCGAAUUGCAAAAUUCCGGUGAGUCAUCUAAUCUUUGAACGCACAUUGCGCCCUUUGGUAUUCCGAAGGGCAUGCCUGUUCGAGCGUCAUUAUCACCCCUCAAGCCCUCGGCUUGGUGUUGGACGGUUUGGUGGAGGCCCCCUCGGGGGCUCCUGCCCCUCCCAAAGACAAUGAUGGCGGCCUCGUUGGACCCCCGGUACACUGAGUUCUUCACGGGACACGUAUCGGACACAUGGGUUUACGGGACACGGUCUGCCUCCCCUCAGGGAGAAUCUUUCUAAGGUUGACCUCGGAUCAGGUAGGGAUACCCGCUGAACUUAAGCAUAUCAAUAAGCGGAGGAA
rnacentral:sRNA from 1 species